GUCCCUGUAGCUCAGUUGGUAGAGCAUGGUGUUUGCAACGCCAGGGGUUGUGGGUUCGAUUCCCACGGGGGGCC
rnacentral:tRNA from 1 species